UGGUUGCUCUGCAGACUCUCCUGAUCAUGAUUUUCCUUUGCUAUGGGAGAUGCAAACUUUUGACCUGAGGAUGUAGGAUCUAGAGAAGCAGGAGAAAGGGAGCUGCUACAAUUACGAUCCUGUAACUGAUCCAUCUCACCAUGUGAAGGUGGCACAUGAUCAUGGGAUUGAGUUUUGGGUAAUUCUUUGGAGCAGCAAAUACAAACUUUUGCCAUGGGAGAUACAAACUUCUGACCUGAGGAUGGAGGAUCUAGAGAAGCAGGAGAAAAGGAGCUACUACAAUUACAUUCCUGUAACUGAUCCAUCCCAUCAUGUGAAGGUGGGACAGGAUCAUGGGAUUGAGUUUUGGGUAAUUCUUUGGAGAAGCAAAUAUGUUCCCUCUCUGCCUCUUGGACCUGUGAGCUACCUC
rnacentral:lncRNA from 1 species